GGGGGUAUAGCUCAGCUGGGAGAGCGCAACACUGGCAGUGUUGAGGUCAUCGGUUCGAUCCCGAUUAUCUCCA
rnacentral:tRNA from 1 species